AUUGAACGCUGGCGGCAGGCCUAACACAUGCAAGUCGAGCGGAUGAAGGGAGCUUGCUCCUGGAUUCAGCGGCGGACGGGUGAGUAAUGCCUAGGAAUCUGCCUGGUAGUGGGGGAUAACGUCCGGAAACGGGCGCUAAUACCGCUUACGUCCUGAGGGAGAAAGUGGGGGAUCUUCGGACCUCACGCUAUCAGAUGAGCCUAGGUCGGAUUAGCUAGUUGGUGGGGUAAAGGCCUACCAAGGCGACGAUCCGUAACUGGUCUGAGAGGAUGAUCAGUCACACUGGAACUGAGACACGGUCCAGACUCCUACGGGAGGCAGCAGUGGGGAAUAUUGGACAAUGGGCGAAAGCCUGAUCCAGCCAUGCCGCGUGUGUGAAGAAGGUCUUCGGAUUGUAUAGCACUUUAAGUUGGGAGGAAGGGCAGUAAGUUAAUACCUUGCUGUUUUGACGUUACCAACAGAAUAAGCACCGGCUAACUUCGUG
rnacentral:rRNA from 1 species